rnacentral:rRNA from 1 species
UGCAUUGAUAACCUACCUUUAAGAUGAGGAUAACGACGUUCCGAGCAAUCGGAACUACCGAAAGGGUUGCUAAUACUCAAUAAUACUAUUGAUACUUCGGUAUUGAUAGUCAAAUGUUUGGAGCCGUAAGGCUCCAUUUGCUUAGAGAGGGGUCAAUGUCCUAUCAGCUAGUUGGUAAGGUAAUGGCUUACCAAGGCUAAGACGGGUAGCCGGCCUGAGAGGGUGGUCGGCCACACUGGGACUGAGACACUGCCCAGACUCCUACGGGAGGCUGCAGUCGAGAAUCUUUCGCAAUGCCCGAAAGGGUGACGAAGCGACGCCGCGUGUGGGAAGAAGGCCUUCGGGUUGUAAACCACUGUCGGGAGUUAAGAAAUGUAAGGGUGUUAAUAGCAUCCUUGCUUGACUAAGGCUCCGGAGGAAGCCACGGCUAACUCUGUGCCAGCAGCCGCGGUAAUACAGAGGCGGCAAGCGUUGUUCGGAAUUAUUGGGCGUAAAGAGCACGUAGGCGGCUUUGUAAGUCAGUUGUGAAAGCCUUCUGCUUAACGGAAGAACAGCAUCUGAUACUGCAAGGCUAGAGUACGGAAGGGGAGAGUGGAACUUCUGGUGGAGCGGUGAAAUGCGUAGAUAUCAGAAGGAACACCGGCGGCGAAGGCGACUCUCUGGUUCGUAACUGACGCUGAGUGUGCGAAAGCUAGGGGAGCAAACGGGAUUAGAUACCCCGGUAGUCCUAGCCGU